rnacentral:rRNA from 1 species
UACGGGGGGGGCAAGCGUUGUUCGGAAUUACUGGGCGUAAAGGCUCGUAGGUGGCCAACUAAGUCAGACGUGAAAUCCCCAGGCUCAACUUGGGAACUGCGUCUGAUACUGGAUGGCUUGAAUUCGGGAGAGGGAUGCAGAAUUCCAGGUGUAGCGGUGAAAUGCGUAGAUAUCUGGAGGAAUACCGGUGGCGAAGGCGGCAUCCUGGACCGAGAUUGACACUGAUGAGCGAAAGCUAGGGGAGCGAAA